rnacentral:sRNA from 1 species
CAUUAAUCCUCCACUCAACCUUCAAGAAACUCAAGUCACUAUAGAAGAAAUCACUCCUCUUGUCCCCCCACAAUCAGGAGAUAAAGGGCAAGAAGAUCUCACAAGCUAUUUUCUUGAAGCACUUCUAAAAUACAUAGUCAUUCAGGUAAAAAGUUUAGAAUGGAAGAACAAAGAAAACCAAGAAAGGGGAUUUUCAUUUUUGUUUUCACAUUUUAAGAAAUAUUACUUGCCUUAUAUUUUUCCAAACAUCUGUAAGGAAAACAGUUUAUAUCAUCCUAUACUUGACAUCCCGCAGAUGAGACCAAAGCCACAUUAUGUCAUGAUAAAGAAAGAUGCUGAAACCAAUGAAGCAAUCUAUUGUACAAAGGAGCCUUUCAUUAAGGCUCGUGUUAUUGUCAUUCGUUGGCUGGUUUCUUUCUGGCUGGAGCCAAAACCACAUACAGGACCUCAUAUUCCUGGGAUGGAAGGUGAAGUCUUGCCAAAGAAUAUUCAGAGAGCAGCUGCUAGUUUAGUAUCCAGAGAAGAAAGCAAAAAUGAUAAUGCUGAUAAAGCAGACAGAACUACAGAACCCGAACAGUCUCAUUCCAAUACAAGCACUCUCACGGAGCGAGAACCUAGCUCAUCUAGUCUCUGUAGUAUUGAUGAAGAACAUCUCACAGACAUUGAAAUAGUUCGCAGAGUUUUUUCUUCUAAAAGGAGUAAUGUAAACUUUGUGACAGAGAUAUUUCGUCAGGCAUUUUUAUUACCAAUUUGUGAAGCAGCAGCUAUGAGAAAAGUGGUAAAAGUAUAUCAAGAAUGGAUCCAACAAGAGGAAAAACCUUUGUUCAUGCAAGAGCCUGAAGAAAUUGUGAUCACUUCUUCAGACCUCCCUUGCAUUGAAAAUGUCACAGACCAUGAUAUUUCAAUGGAAGAAGGAGAAAAAAGAGAAGAGGAAAAUGGGACCAAUACUGCUGAUCAUGUUCGAAAUUCCAGUUGGGCAAAAAACGGCUCCUACCAAGGUGCUCUUCAUAACGCCUCUGAAGAAGCCACAGAACAAAACAUACGAGCUGGUACCCAGGCAGUUUUGCAGGUGUUCAUUAUAAACUCAUCAAAUAUAUUUCUUCUUGAACCUGCAAAUGAAAUAAAAAAUCUUCUGGAUGAACACACAGAUAUGUGUAAACGCAUUCUUAACAUUUAUCGGUACAUGGUUGUACAAGUAUCAAUGGACAAAAAGACUUGGGAACAGAUGCUGCUUGUGUUGCUCAGAGUCACGGAAUCUGUACUGAAGAUGCCAUCACAAGCUUUUCUACAGUUCCAAGGGAAAAAAAAUAUGACCUUGGCAGGUCGACUUGCAGGACCACUUUUCCAGACCCUUAUAGUUGCCUGGAUCAAAGCAAACCUAAAUGUGUACAUCUCCCGAGAACUUUGGGAUGACUUACUGUCAGUAUUGUCAUCGUUGACCUAUUGGGAAGAGUUGGCCACUGAGUGGUCACUGACUAUGGAGACAUUAACUAAAGUUUUAGCUAGGAAUUUAUAUAGUUUGGAUCUCAGUGAUUUACCAUUGGAUAAGCUGAGUGAACAGAAACAAAAAAAGCACAAAGGGAAAGGAGUUGGACAUGAAUUUCAGAAAGUUUCAGUUGACAAGUCAUUUUCUAGAGGAUGGAGUCGUGAUCAGCCUGGCCAAGCCCCAAUGAGACAGAGGAGUGCAACAACCACUGGUUCUCCAGGAACCGAAAAGGCGAGGAGUAUAGUACGGCAAAAAACUGUCGGCUAAUGAAGAAAAGCCAUAUGAUCACAUCAAUAGAUGUAGAAAAAACAUUUGGCAAAAUCCAACACCCAUUUAGGAUAAAAACUCUCAGCAAAGUAGGAAUAGGGAGAACUUCCUCAACUUUAUAAAUCUAUUAAAAAAUAAAAACACAGGACAACCUACCUCUAGCAUCAUACUUAAUGGUGAGAAACUAGGUUUUUUUCUGCUGAGAUCCACAACAAGACAAGGAUAUCUCACUAUUCCUGUAAGACAGGAAAAGGAAAUAAAAGGUCUACAGACUGAGAAGAAAUAAAUAAAACUAUCUUUGUAGAUGACAUGAUUAUUUAUGUGGAAAAUUUCAAAGUGACAACCUCCUGAAACUAAUAAGCAAUUAUAGCAAGGUUAUAGGAUGCCAGAUUAAUAUAUAAAAGUCAGUCGCUCCUUCCAUACCAGCAAUGAACAACUGGAAUUUGAAACUGAAAGCACAGUACCAUUUACAUUAGCAUCAAAAAUCUCCAAAACAAUUAGGUAUAAAUCUAGCAAAAUAUUUACAAGAUCUAUAUGAGGAAAACUAUGAAACUUUGAUGAAAGAAAUCAAAGAAUAAAUAAGUUGAGAGGUCUAGUUCAUGUACAUGGAUAGAAAAACUCACUAUUGGCAAGAUGUCAUUUUUUCCCUACUUAAUCUGUAGAUUCAACACAAUCUCAGUUGAUUUUGUUCUUAACAAGUUAUUUUGUGGAUAUUGACAGAAUCUAAAAUUUAUAUAGAAAGGCAGAGCAUGAGCAACAUGGCAAAACCUGUCUCUACAAAAAAUACAAAAACUAGUUGGAUGUGGUGUCAUGUGCCUGUAGUCCCAGCUACUUGGGAGCCUGAGAUGGGAGGAUUGCUUAAGUUCAGGAGGUCAAGGCUGCAGUGAGCCAUGAUUGUGCCCCUGCACUCUCUAGCCUGGGUAACACAGCAAGAUCUUGUAUCAG